rnacentral:rRNA from 1 species
CCUACGGGUGGCAGCAGUGAGGAAUAUUGGUCAAUGGACGAGAGUCUGAACCAGCCAAGUAGCGUGAAGGAUGACUGCCCUAUGGGUUGUAAACUUCUUUUAUAUGGGAAUAAAAUGUUCCACGUGUGGGAUUUUGUAUGUACCAUAUGAAUAAGGAUCGGCUAACUCCGUGCCAGCAGCCGCGGUAAUACGGAGGAUCCAAGCGUUAUCCGGAUUUAUUGGGUUUAAAGGGAGCGUAGGUGGAUUGUUAAGUCAGUUGUGAAAGUUUGCGGCUAAACCGUAAAAUUGCAGUUGAAACUGGCAGUCUUGAGUACAGUAGAGGUGGGCGGAAUUCGUGGUGUAGCGGUGAAAUGCUUAGAUAUCACGAAGAACUCCGAUUGCGAAGGCAGUUCACUGGACUGCAACUGACACUGAGGCUCGAAAGUGUGGGUAUCAAACAGGAUUAGAUACCCGGGUAGUC